rnacentral:rRNA from 1 species
CCUACGGGUGGCAGCAGUGGGGAAUAUUGCACAAUGGGGGAAACCCUGAUGCAGCGACGCCGCGUGAAGGAAGAAGUAUUUCGGUAUGUAAACUUCUAUCAGCAGGGAAGAAAAUGACGGUACCUGACUAAGAAGCCCCGGAUAACUACGGGCCAGCAGCCUCGGUAAUACGUAGGGGGCAAUCGUUAUCCGGAUUUACUGGGUGGAAAGGGAGCGUAGGCGGUGCAGCCAGUCAGAAGUGAAAGCCCGGGGCUCAACUCCGGGACUGCUUUUGAAACUGUUGAAGUCGAUUGCAGGAGCGGUAAUUGGAAUUCCUAUUGUAGCGGUGACAUGCGUAGAUAUUAGGAGGAACACCAGUGGCGAUGGCAGCUUACUGGACUGUAAAUGCCGCUGAGGCUCGAAAGCGUGGGGAGCAAACAGGAUUAGAUACCCCAGUAGUC